CCUGAAGGGCCAACCUGGUCGUCUCUGGGACCUUCUGGUCCACCAGGUGCUGUACCUCUGCCGCCAUGGCCGCCACAUGGCUCUCCAUCUCCUUCUCUAACCUUUUGAGGCAGUGCUUUCAUCUCCAGGCUGUGGAUAGCAGCGUUGUGUUCCUCGUUCUGAUUGGCCAGCUGCUUCUCCAGAGACUCCAUGUUGGACGUCAGCUGCUCCUUCUGCUUCUGAAACUCCUCCAGAUUAGCCAGCCUCGUCACUUGGAGCACGAGAGAAGAGUUAAAAGUUCACUCACUAAGGUUUAACUCAACCAAUGAGUUUGUUUCUGCAUCCAGUUUGUGUUAAAUGCAGUGUACAGGCUGCUAAACUGUUCAGCCACCUAGCUGAUGCUACAGGUCCAAUGAGGUAAACAAAAAACAUUUAAUAACAAUGUAUUGCUAUGUAAUGGUAUCAUUGUACCUAUCAUAGUACCUAUGUAAUGCUGUCUAGAGUUAACUAGGUAGAAAUAUAUUGUCAGUCCUUGAUUCAUCUCACACUCAGAUGUCUAGAAAUAAAAAAUAUUUUCUACCAAAA